rnacentral:pre_miRNA from 1 species
UCCAACAUUUGACCAUUUAUCUUAUUUGAAUUUUUUUUGCGAUUAAUAUUUUUAUUAUUAUUAGAUGAUAAAAUAUGAAUAGUACUUUAUACAUGUCUAUUUUUUUUAAGUUUUUUAUAAAUUUUUCAAAUAAAACGAAUGAUCAAACGUUAGACACGGAAAAAC